AGUUUGAUCCUGGCUCAGAUUGACGCUGGCGGCAUGCCUUACACAUGCAAGUCGAACGGUAACAGGGAGCUUGCUCCGCUGACGAGUGGCGAACGGGUGAGUAAUAUAUCGGAACGUACCUUUGAGUGGGGGAUAACUAGUCGAAAGAUUAGCUAAUACCGCAUACGAUCUACGGAUGAAAGUGGGGGAUCGCAAGACCUCAUGCUCAUAGAGCGGCCGAUAUCUGAUUAGCUAGUUGGUGAGGUAAAGGCUCACCAAGGCUUCGAUCAGUAGCUGGUCUGAGAGGACGACCAGCCACACUGGGACUGAGACACGGCCCAGACUCCUACGGGAGGCAGCAGUGGGGAAUUUUGGACAAUGGGGGCAACCCUGAUCCAGCAAUGCCGCGUGAGUGAAGAAGGCCUUCGGGUUGUAAAGCUCUUUUGUCAGGGAAGAAACGGGAUGUCCUAAUACGAGUCCUAAUGACGGUACCNGUAAGAAU
rnacentral:rRNA from 1 species